CCUACGGGAGGCAGCAGUGAGGAAUAUUGGUCAAUGGACGAGAGUCUGAACCAGCCAAGUAGCGUGAAGGAUGACUGCCCUAUGGGUUGUAAACUUCUUUUAUAUGGGAAUAAAACGUUCCACGUGUGGGAUUUUGUAUGUACCAUAUGAAUAAGGAUCGGCUAACUCCGUGCCAGCAGCCGCGGUAAUACGGAGGAUACGAGCGUUAUCCGGAUUUAUUGGGGUUAAAGGGAGCGUAGGUGGAUUGUUAAGUCAGUUGUGAAAGUUUGCGGCUCAACCUUAAAAUUGCAGUUGAAACUGGCAGUCUUGAGUACAGUAGAGGUGGGCGGAAUUCGUGGUGUAGCGGUGAAAUGCUUAGAUAUCACGAAGAACUCCGAUUGCGAAGGCAGUUCACUGGACUGCAACUGACACUGAGGCUCGAAAGUGUGGGUAUCAAACAGGAUUAGAUACCCUGGUAGUC
rnacentral:rRNA from 1 species